UUUCUCACAGAAAAGGGAAGGUCUCCACCUACGCAUUUGUAAAUGACAGUCAGUCUAAUGUUCAGUCAGUCAGGAGGAAGUUAACUCCCUAACAUGGAGGUGACAUCUUUGUGCAUCAGACUCGUUUGGUAUUCAUUUUUGUUGAUCACAGCUGAAGUUAAGAACAGCUAUUUUUCUCAAAAAGCUGAACUGGAUGGAACUUAUCUUUAUAUUGAGCCCAACAGACUGCAGUUCUUUGAAUAUGAAUCAAUCACAUUCAAGUGUGAGGGGUUUUCCAGAGGAGCUGAAUGGCGAGUGAUGAAAAAGACUCCUUCAAUGGCUACCAUAAGGAAAUCAUCAA